rnacentral:rRNA from 1 species
AACAGGAUUAGAUACCCUGGUAGUCCACGCCGUAAACGUUGGGCGCUAGGUGUGGGGGCCAUUCCACGGUCUCCGUGCCGCAGCUAACGCAUUAAGCGCCCCGCCUGGGGAGUACGGCCGCAAGGCUAAAGCUCAAAGGAAUUGACGGGGGCCCGCACAAGCGGCGGAGCAUGUUGCUUAAUUCGAUGCAACGCGAAGAACCUUACCUAGGCUUGACAUGCACGGAAAUCUGUCAGAGAUGGCAGGUCCUUUUAGGGUCGUGCACAGGUGGUGCAUGGUUGUCGUCAGCUCGUGUCGUGAGAUGUUGGGUUAAGUCCCGCAACGAGCGCAACCCUCGUUCUAUGUUGCCAGCACGUGAUGGUGGGGACUCAUAGGAGACUGCCGGGGUCAACUCGGAGGAAGGUGGGGAUGACGUCAAAUCAUCAUGCCCCUUAUGUCUAGGGCUGCAAACAUGCUACAAUGGCCGGUACAAAGGGCUGCGAUACCGUGAGGUGGAGCGAAUCCCAAAAAGCCGGUCUCAGUUCGGAUUGGGGUCUGCAACUCGACCCCAUGAAGUUGGAGUCGCUAGUAAUCGCAGAUCAGCAACGCUGCGGUGAAUACGUUCCCGGGCCUUGUACACACCGCCCGUCACGUCACGAAAGUCGGUAACGCCCGAAGCCGGUGGCCCAACCCCUGGUGGGAGGGAGCCGUCGAAGGCGGGAUCGGCGAUUGGGACGAAGUCGUAACAAGGUAACC